UUCUUGGUGUGACAGACAGGCAGCGGGGUC
rnacentral:piRNA from 1 species